CGGCUGGCAUGGUGCGCCACAUCUACCGCGACCUGGAGGCGGCCGACGCCGCCGCGCUGCAAGCUGGGAAUGGUGAGGAAGAAAUUCUGCCCCACUGUAACUUGCAGGUUUUUACCUACACCUGUGAUGUGGGGAAGAGGGAGAACGUCUACCUGACAGCUGAAAGAGUCCGCAAGGAGGUUGGCGAAGUCUCAGUCCUGGUCAAUAAUGCUGGUGUUGUCUCUGGGCAUCACCUUCUGGAAUGUCCUGAUGAGCUCAUUGAGAGAACCAUGAUGGUCAAUUGCCAUGCACACUUCUGGGUAAAUAUAAACAUCCUUGUUUUCUUUGCUGGGCCCUCCUCAAUGAGAAGGUUGGGAAGGAGAGAGACUUCAGUGCCAGCCUGAAAGCAACCUGUACUCUUUCGCCACAAGGUCUCCUUAGCUCUUCCCUAUGGUAAACUGCAGUGUAUGCUGGUUACUAUUAGUCGUUUUGUCCCCGCCCACCCCCCGCCACCCCUAACUCAGUAUUUUUGAGAGGGCAGAGGAUUGAACAUUUUGAACUAGUUUGAAAGAUCGCCAUAAAAAUAACAAGACAGAGCGUAAAACCCUGGGUUUGUUUAUUUUACUUUCU
rnacentral:sRNA from 1 species